AGAGAUCUCCCUUCCGGCUAUCGUGGCUGCUGUUCAGGUGGUGGAGAAGAAGAUGGAACCCCAGGCUGCCUGGCUACAGAGCCUGGAGGGAUGCAUGUGGACAGCCAAGAAGAAGCUGGCUGACUGCGAGAAGGUGGCUGUGGAGUUCGGGAACCAGCUGGAGGCAAGUGGGCCGUGCUGGGGACCCUGCUGCAGGAGUACGGGCUGCUGCAGAGGUGGCUGGGGAACGUGGAGAACCUGCUGUGCAACAGGAACUUCUGGAUCCUGCAGUUGCCCCCGGGCAGCAAGGGGGAGGCCCCCAAGG
rnacentral:lncRNA from 1 species